UGGGGAAUAUUGGACAAUGGGGGCAACCCUGAUCCAGCAAUGCCGCGUGUGUGAAGAAGGUCUUCGGAUUGUAAAGCACUUUCGACGGGGACGAUGAUGACGGUACCCGUAGAAGAAGCCCCGGCUAACUUCGUGCCAGCAGCCGCGGUAAUACGAAGGGGGCUAGCGUUGCUCGGAAUGACUGGGCGUAAAGGGCGUGUAGGCGGUUUACACAGUCAGAUGUGAAAUCCCCGGGCUUAACCUGGGAGCUGCAUUUGAUACGUGUAGACUAGAGUGUGAGAGAGGGUUGUGGAAUUCCCAGUGUAGAGGUGAAAUUCGUAGAUAUUGGGAAGAACACCGGUGGCGAAGGCGGCAACCUGGCUCAUGACUGACGCUGAGGCGCGAAAGCGUGGGGAGCAAACAGGUUAGAUACCCUGGUAGUCCACGCUGUAAACGAUGUGUGCUAGAUGUUGGGUAACUUUGUUAUUCAGUGUCGCAGUUAACGCGUUAAGCACACCG
rnacentral:rRNA from 1 species